GGGAUAUAGCUCAGUUGGUAGAGUGCUUGCCUUGUAUGCAUAAGGCCCUGGGUUCAAUCCCCAGCAACCACA
rnacentral:tRNA from 1 species